GAUGAACGCUGGCGGCGUGCCUAAUACAUGCAAGUCGAGCGAACAGACGAGGAGCUUUCUCCUCUGACGUUAGCGGCGGACGGGUGAGUAACACGUGGAUAACCUACCUAUAAGACUGGGAUAACUUCGGGAAACCGGAGCUAAUACCGGAUAAUAUAUUGAACCGCAUGGUUCAAUAGUGAAAGACGGUUUUGCUGUCACUUAUAGAUGGAUCCGCGCCGCAUUAGCUAGUUGGUAAGGUAACGGCUUACCAAGGCAACGAUGCGUAGCCGACCUGAGAGGGUGAUCGGCCACACUGGAACUGAGACACGGUCCAGACUCCUACGGGAGGCAGCAGUAGGGAAUCUUCCGCAAUGGGCGAAAGCCUGACGGAGCAACGCCGCGUGAGUGAUGAAGGUUUUCGGAUCGUAAAACUCUGUUAUUAGGGAAGAACAAAUGUGUAAGUAAAUAUGCACGUCUUGACGGUACCUAAUCAGAAAGCCACGGCUAACUACGUG
rnacentral:rRNA from 1 species